UACGAGAGGCCCAAACGUUUAUUCGGAUUUACUGGGCUUAAAGAGUUCGUGGGCGGUGCAGAAAGUGGGGUGUGAAAGCCCUCGGCUCAACCGAGGAAUUGCGCUCCAAACUACUGUGCUAGAGGAACCUAGAGGUGAGCAGAACAGAUGGUGGAGCGGUGAAAUGCGUUGAUAUCAUCUGGAAUACCGGAGGCGAAGGCGGCUCACUGGGGGUUUUCUGACGCUGAGGAACGAAAGCCAGGGUAGCGAACGGG
rnacentral:rRNA from 1 species